UACGCGCCUAAGUAAAAAUAGCGACCACAGUAACAACAGUCGGUCUUAUACAAAAAGGCAGUCAUCGACUUCCUGGACCAGGGCGAAACGUCGCCAGCAGACACCACCCCCAACCUCACCCGCUAAGCGUGUAGUGACUUGUUUCAACUGUGGCAAACGAGGGCACUACCGAUCUGAGUGUUACAAACUUAAGUCCCUCUCUGGGGUAGCUAGUGUAAUUCCUUUAUACCUAUGGGCCCACCAGUAUUGUCGCGUCGGGACGACGCGAGGUGCGUGGCCGAGCAAAUGUAGACAGCCUGUACUGGCAGAGCACACAGCCUAGCCGUCUGCUCUGACUAGUUCAUAUUUCGCGGCAUUCAGUGCUGCCCUCUGAGUUACAUGUCACACCUUAGGAAAUGCUACUGUCAGUCAUUGUUUGCAGAUGUGAGCGUGCAACAACGUUAGUAGACGAGUGGUCAACUGAUGUUCAGCCCUGCGGACAACCUGUAUAUAGAAGAUUUUAGUUCCAGUGCUGACGUCUCCCGGCUCUCUACUCGAUGAAACAGCGCGGGCAAACCAGUUUUCUCUUCCCCUGGAUGGGAGAGUUUUUUUUUGCCUGUUGCAUUUUUUUUUUGUCCAUUUUUUAUUUACUAGUGAGCGAAAGCCAGUCCCUCUCUGGGGUAGCUAUUGUAAUUCCUUUAUACCUAUGGGCCCACCAGUAUUGUCGCGUCGGGACGACGCGAGGUGCGUGGCCGAGCAAAUGUAGACAGCCUGUACUGGCAGAGCACACAGCCUAGCCGUCUGCUCUGACUAGUUCAUAUUUCGCGGCAUUCAGUGCUGCCCUCUGUAGGCCUACCUAGGUCGGUGGGACACACAGUCCACCCUCUCUCACUCCCGCCUCGACCGACUUGACGUACACAGGUACUCCCCCUCCACGGACUGGCUUGCGGUCACUUCCUCACACUGCCCGUUGUGUACUCACUCCUACCCGAUUAAAGCCAAUCUAGUCCACGGCCGUAUCAUUGCUACCUACGCUACCUUCAUCGGCACUAAACCGUGUUCAACAGCAAGAACAGCAAUAACACAUAAACGCACCUUUUAGUGAAGGUACAGUCAAUGGUAUGAAUGUGUCAACCAUUCUUAGAGACACUGGAUGUUCCUGUAUUGUUAUCUCGAGUAAGCUUUUCCCUAACCUAGAUUCUUCACGUUAUAAGUCCACUAAGUUAAACUGACUAUUUAGGAAGAAGCGAUUCUUUUCCAACAGUCAGAUGUUUUGUUAGGUGCAAAUGGUUCUCAGGAUGGGUAGAUGCCGUAGUUGCCCGAUAACCUCGUGUUCUGUUUUGGUUGGGAACAUAAAAGGGGCUGCUUUCCCUUCUGAGAAGGACUGUUUGGAAUUUGGAGUUUCCAAGGAAGGGUUGGAACCUAAUAUCUCUGUUUCUUCACAGAUAGUUCCAGAUGAGAUUCAGUUGGAUAACCUAAAUCAGAGAGCUGAUGGUUACAAAACUCCGGUAACACCUUUAGUAAGUCAGUCACUUGAACUGGACAACGCAGACGCCAGUGGAAAACUACGUGUGGCACAAUCUAUACAACAACUAGACUCAAUUAACGUCGUUACCAGAGCUCAGUCUAAGCUCUGUUCCUGGCGUGGUCUUCCAGGAUAGACGCCAGAUAAAGGGGCAAGACGUAUGUUAAUAAUACUUAUUAACAUUAUUCUACUUCUACCGGCCCUUACCUAUUCUACUUGUGCUCCAUCCAAGUGGUAGGAGAUUCCAGAACAUCGGAUUACCAUCUGCCCAGGAUAACCUACAUAAAUAACAUCAGAGGAACUAUCCAGGGCCAUACCUACUCCUGCCCAACUAAAAGAACUGAAGGCCAUUUUUUUUUA